GAAUCUACAGGAUCCAUGAAUGAUACAUUUUAACAAAUCUGCUUUCAGCACAAAUAUUACACUGGUUACACCAAUUUUCUCUUUUCUGGUGUGUGUUUCUCCAAAGGACAGAUCUUAUUUUAAUGAAGAGAUGGAUAAACUUAUUCUUUUCAUUUUUUUGUUGCAAGGUGUUUGGUGUGGAGAUUGGAGCAUCAGUCUGCCAGAGAAGAUCGAAGCUCUGAGUGGAUCCUGUGUGACCAUAAACUGCAGAUUUACUAUUGAUAACAAAUAUGACAAAGAUCUCAAUGACAGUGCUGUUGGAGUGUGGCUUAAA